UACGUAGGGGGCAAGCGUUGUCCGGAAUCAUUGGGCGUAAAGAGCGCGUAGGCGGCCCUGUAAGUCCGCUGUGAAAGUCAAGGACUCAACCCUUGAAUGCCGGUGGAUACUGCAGGGCUAGAGUCCGGAAGAGGCGAGUGGAAUUCCUGGUGUAGCGGUGAAAUGCGCAGAUAUCAGGAGGAACACCGGUGGCGAAGGCGGAUCUCUGGGCCUUACCUGACGCUCAGGUGCGAAAGCUAGGGGAGCGAACAGG
rnacentral:rRNA from 1 species